AAUGAACGUUGGCGGCGUGGAUUAGGCAUGCAAGUCGAGCGCUCAUAGCAAUAUGGGAGCGGCGAACGGCGUAGUAAUACGUAGGAACGUACCCUCGGGUCGAGGAUAGCCACGGGAAACUGUGGGUAAUACCCGAUAAUCUCUGCGGAGCAAAGGUGUGAUUCCGCCGGAGGAGCGGCUGAUGUGAUAUUAGCUAGUUGGUGGGGUAAAGGCCUACCAAGGCGAUGAUGUCUAGGGGGUGUGAGAGCAUGGCCCCCACGACCGGAACUGAGAUACUGUCCGGACACCUACGGGUGGCUGCAGUCGAGAAUCUUCCGCAAUGGACGAAAGUCUGACGGAGCGACGCCGCGUGCGGGAUGAAGGCCCUUGGGUUGUAAACCGCUGUCAGAGGGAUGAAAUCGUCGGGGGUACUCCCCCGAUGUUGACAGAGCCUCAAAGGAAGCACGGGCUAAGUACGUGCCAGCAG
rnacentral:rRNA from 1 species